AACUGGAAGAAGACAAACAGGCAUUGCCCCAGUAACGGCGAGUGAAGCGGCAACAGCUCAAAUUUGAAAUCUGGCCCCAGGCCCGAGUUGUAAUUUGCAGAGGAUGCUUUUGGCGCGGUGCCUUCCGAGUGCCCUGGAACGGGACGCCAUAGAGGGUGAGAGCCCCAUCUGGUUGGACACCAAGCCUAUGUAAAGCUCCUUCGACGAGUCGAGUAGUUUGGGAAUGCUGCUCUAAAUGGGAGGUAUAUGUCUUCUAAAGCUAAAUACCGGCCAGAGACCGAUAGCGCACAAGUAGAGUGAUCGAAAGAUGAAAAGCACUUUGAAAAGAGGGUUAAAUAGUACGUGAAAUUGUUGAAAGGGAAGCGCUUAUGACCAGACUUGGGCCCGGUGAAUCAUCCAGCGUUCUCGCUGGUGCACUUUGCCGGGCACAGGCCAGCAUCAGUUUGCCGCGGGGGAUAAAGGCUUCGGGAACGUGGCUCCCUCGGGAGUGUUAUAGCCCGUUGCACAAUACCCUGGGGCGGACUGAGGUUCGCGCAUCUGCUAGGAUGCUGGCGUAAUGGUCAUCAGCGACCCGUCUUGAAACACGGACCAAGGAGUCGUCUUCGUAUGCGAGUGUUCGGGUGUAAAACCCCUACGCGUAAUGAAAGUGAACGCAGGUGAGAGCUUCGGCGCAUCAUCGACCGAUCCUGAUGUUCUCGGAUGGAUUUGAGUAAGAGCAUACGGGGCCGGACCCGAAAGAAGGUGAACUAUGCCUGUAUAGGGUGAAGCCAGAGGAAACUCUGGUGGAGGCUCGCAGCGGUUCUGACGUGCAAAUCGAUCGUCAAAUAUGGGCAUGGGGGCGAAAGACUAAUCGAACCUUCUAGUAGCUGGUUUCCGCCGAAGUCUCCCCCUCAGGGAAGG
rnacentral:rRNA from 1 species